rnacentral:rRNA from 1 species
ACCGGCGGCUCGAGUGGUAACCGUUAUUAUUGGGUCUAAAGGGUCUGUAGCCGGCCGGAUAAGUCUCUUGAGAAAUCCAGCAGCUCAACUGUUGGGCUUUCAGGAGAUACUGUCUGGCUCGAGGCCGGGAGAGGUGAGAGGUACUUCAGGGGAAGGGGUGAAAUCUGAUAGGCCUGGAAGGAAAACCAGUGGCGAAGGCGGCUCACCAGAACUUACAUGACGGCAAGGGACGAAAGCUAGGGGCACGAACCG